UGGGUACAAUAUGUUAAGCCCAUUUCUGGUGUUCCCCGCCGUGAGAUUGCUGGAAUAUUGCUAAAAGCGGCGUAAAACCAAACUCACUCACUCACUCACUAUAGUAUGUAGCAAGGCUACAUUUCUGCAGUAGGUCUGGGCUCUUUUUAGUAUAUUUAAUGAAGACAAUUCAAGAAACUGUUUUUCUGUAAAAUAUGUUUAUUUCAGUAACUAGAUGUUAGUCUAGAUGUAAGGUAGCAUCCAUAAAAGCAGAUAGAUGCAAGUGAAGUGAAUGAAUAUUUCUCUAAUAUAAGUGGUGUAUUCUGUAAUUAGGUAAUGCUUACUGUCAUAGAUGAAGACACUGUUGUUGAUUGAAUGUAUUGUUUCUUGGUAAUCAAGCUUCUGUUAACUGGGGAUUGGGUGGCUUCAGUGGAAUGAAUAGUGUGGGAGUCAAACUGUCGACCUGGAUAUGUGAUGGGGAUGCUCACACUAUCAACCUCUGGUUUGUUUGUUCUGAAGUUUAGCUAAUUACAGCACGGAAGUACUUUCAGUAACAUACUCACACCCUCUAACAUUACCACCAACUCACUCACCCAAAGACUAGUCACACACUUACAGUCCAACCAAUGACCACCGACUCACUCACUCAUUUGCCGAUCCAAGGACCACCAACUCACUCACCCAAAGACUAGUCACUCACUCACAGUCCAACCAAUGACCACCGACUCACUCACUCACUUGCUUACAUAACCAAACACCCCCAACUCACUCACUUUGCCUUGAUCAAAGUUGUAGCAAACUACAGCACUCACUCACUCACUCACUCUUGAUCAAAGUUGUAUUGGACUACAGCACGCAACCCGCUCACUCACUCUUGUAGUGGACUACAGCACGCAACCCGCUCACUCACACCCACGAUUCACUAACUUACCAGCUAACUCCCAAGAAUGGUAUGUCCAUUGUGUAUAUCCCAUGCUGUGUACAUACCAUAUUGACCGUCCCAGCAAAUGAGAUGCACAUCCUUUAAAUACUACUGUCUUCCAUGGUAUAUCAAAUGAGCAUUUGAUGAUUACACUUUUCAAGAAAUUAUUGCUCUAACAAAACCUCCAUUUUGGAUAAAAACUAAUUGUUGUAAAUCAAAUAGAUACUUUCUUGAUGGGAUUGAAACAUUCUUAUUUCACAGAAAAUGUUAAGUGGAUUGAUAAAUAAGUAAUAACCUUUGUCAAUAUCUUUCCAGGAUAAAAUACUAGUAAUAGCAAUUAAUAUUGACACCAUCAAGGUUCAUUAUAUAAUAACCAAAUUUCAAAGCUUCAAAUGAAAUGCCGGUACUUAAAUGGCAGUAGAAUAUUAUUUGACACUAAAACAUUGUAACUGUUACAGAUUUGGACAAAACUGGUGAAUUUUCCUACUUUAUCAAUAUGUUCCUACUUUAUCAAUAUAUUCCUGGACAGGUUUAAAGUUUCAAGAUCUCAUGUGUAUCAACCAUCUGAUAUGGAUAGCUGGGAUCAAUAUCUCCCGUUUGUGUGACGAAGUUGGGUGCUUCACUCCAGACUUUCACCAGACACCAGAAAAGUUUGAUUUAUUUAUGUGAUACUUUACUUGCAGACUCGCUUGGUAGAGUGAAGAGGAAAAAUAUAAAACAUUGAUAGUAUUCAACAGUUACUCAGAACACCAGGAGUCCUUUUACAAUCUGUUACAGGGCAACAGAAUAAUGUUUUAUUUUUUAUCAAUUAUUUAUUUUGCCUUAAUUACUGCUGGUUCAUGCUCAAGUAUUGUAUUGUGCGGCACUAAAGAUACACAGAUUAAAAUUCUUGGUUAUUGCAAAUAAUGAGCUUGCCCAUUACUUGGAGACUUUUGUAAUUCUCUUUAGUGCAAUGCAUUCCUGUACCUACCUCCCUCACUCAUACACUGCAACUCUCAUAACUAAACCAAAAUACUCUCAUUUACUCACAUUCUGAACACAGACUGGGGUGACUCACAUUCAGACUUUCCUUACUCACAUUCAGAUUUUCUUGACUCACAUUCAGAUGUUCCUGACUCAUGUUAAGACGUUCCUGACUCGUAUUCAGACUUUCCUUACUCACAUUCAGAUUUCCCUGACUUGCAUACACUUUUCCUGACACACAUGCAAAUUUCCUGACUCACAUAAUGACAUCCCUGACUCACAUAAUGACUUCUCUGACUCACAUUCAGAUUUCCCUGACUUGCAUGCACUUUUCCUGACACACAUGCAAAUUUACUGACUCACAUAAUGACUUUCCUGACUCACAUAACUCACAUAAUGACUUUCCUGACUCACAUAAUUACUUCCCUGACUCACAUAAUUACUUCCCUGACUCACAUAACUCACAUAAUGACUUCCCUGACUCACAGACAAACUCAGUGAACUGACCAACACAUUUUCUGAUGUGGUUUCUGAAAUUAUUGAAGACAAAGGGUCAAACAGGUCAAUCUUGACCUUGACAGUCAUCAUUCUAUCAACCACUGAUUUUGCUAGACCACAUUUAGUAAUAUACAACAAUCUACAAGGACUGGUGUAACCUCCAUCCAUUGUCAUCAGGAUCUGUUUCCUAGGGGCAGAUAAUCAGUAAUUUAAGUUUCAAGUACAUUUUAGAUAUAUCGGUUCCUGUCAUGACAAAUUAUUUAUGACAUAUCAAGCUCACCGAAAACUCCACUGAAGCUUGCCUAUAGCUCAGAUGAAACUUUACAGUCAUGAAUAACAGGUGACAUCACAUUACUCUCAAUGGUGAAGUAAUGUGACAUCAUGUGACUUCAACUGACCAAUCAGCAUUGAGAACUGCUGAGACUGCACAUGUACAAAUGUUGUAACACUGUCUGUUUGUACUAUAUAGAUGACGUUUCUGUUAACAGACCAAUGUGCUACAGCUGGUGGAAAAUGAGUUUAGACAUUGUAGAAAUAGUAGGCUUGUUUGUUCCACAGAUCAUAUUUUUCACAAGACAAACCUGUGAGAAUUCAAGAUGGGUUACAAUAGGCCCCAACAACCUGUGCUUGUCUCAAGAUAUGACUCUGUGAAUCAGGAUACCAUUGUUCAAAGCGAUCUUAGCGCUAAGGUGAUUGUAACUCCCAUACUUUAACAUAGACUUACCACAGUCUUUUAGCAGGCCUCCACACAGCAAACUAAAGUUUGACAACACAUGUUGUCAAACUCGAGUUUGAGAGUGAGAACAUUCCAACAACCCGCCACCAACACAAAUUUCAGAGUUGUCAAACUGUUGUCGAGAAAUAGGAUUGGUCUCUAUUCACACCAACUUUUCCAUCAAACUUUCUGUGUUGUCAAACUUGUGUUGUUCACAAACAACCAAUCGCAGUCAACAAAACUGUCACGUGACCACACCAAUAGACACAUGGCGCUCACAUGGCACGAAAGUUUGACGUGUGAAAACGCAAGUUUGACAACUUUUAAAAUUUCAACAACAUGUGAAGACCGCUUUAGCACUAAGGUGAUCAUAACUCCCAUACCUUAACAUAGAUUUACAAUACUCUUAGCCCUUAGGUGAUAGUAACUCCCAAUUACCUGAACAAUGACUACAACAGUCUUAGCUCUAAGGUGAUCGUAACUCCCAUACCUUAAUAUAGAUUUACAAUAGUCUUAGCGCUAAGGUGAUAGUAACUCCCAGACCUUAACAAUGACUUACAAUAGUCUUAGCGCUAAGGUGAUAGUAACUCCCAGACCUUAACAAUGACUACAACAGUCUUAGCGCUAAGGGUUAGUGAUUUGGUCAAUUGCAUGUCAUUGUAACUUGAUGGCAUUGAUUGAUGCUCAUAAUAUCGAUCACAGGUUUGUCUUGUCCAGAGAUGAUUGUUCGCAGGCUUCCAUCAUAUAACUUGAAUAUUUUCUUCAAUAAACAACAAAGAAGUUUUGUAGACAAAGUCAGGUUAUCUAGGAACAAGUUUCGUUUACUCCUUGUUGAGUUUUUGUUGUGUGGGAGACUGUUGUGAAUGAUUGUGCGUGUUGUUAUGUUGUACUGAUUCAUACUGAAUCAUAUGUGUUACAACGGUUGAAGAUCAAAAUUGUAUUUAUAUCAAUAUGUUCUUUAUUUCAUAUAGUGCCUUCAAUAAAAUUGUCAUAAUAAAUUAAUGUCUCCAGA